rnacentral:rRNA from 1 species
AGCGAACGCUGGCGGCAGGCUUAACACAUGCAAGUCGAACGGGCGUAGCAAUACGUCAGUGGCAGACGGGUGAGUAACGCGUGGGAACGUACCUUUUGGUUCGGAACAACACAGGGAAACUUGUGCUAAUACCGGAUAAGCCCUUACGGGGAAAGAUUUAUCGCCGAAAGAUCGGCCCGCGUCUGAUUAGCUAGUUGGUGGGGUAAAGGCCCACCAAGGCGACGAUCAGUAGCUGGUCUGAGAGGAUGAUCAGCCACAUUGGGACUGAGACACGGCCCAAACUCCUACGGGAGGCAGCAGUGGGGAAUAUUGGACAAUGGGCGCAAGCCUGAUCCAGCCAUGCCGCGUGAGUGAUGAAGGCCCUAGGGUUGUAAAGCUCUUUUGUACGGGAAGAUAAUGACGGUACCGUAAGAAUAAGCCCCGGCUAACUUCGUGCCAGCAGCCGCGGUAAU